GUUGGAAUGAUGAACCUUUUAUGUCGGAUACCCCUUCACUCUUGAGAAUGAGUGAAAAAUUUCUUCUGACAAC